rnacentral:rRNA from 1 species
CACGUAGGGCGCAAGCGUUGUCCGGAAUUAUUGGGCGUAAAGAGCUCGUAGGCGGUCUGUUGCGUCCGCUGUGAAAACUCGGGGCUUAACCCCGAGCCUGCAGUGGAUACGGGGCAGACUAGAGGUAGGUAGGGGAGAAUGGAAUUCCCCGGUGUAGCGGUGAAAUGCGCAGAUAUCAGGAAGAACACCCGUGGCGAAAAGCGGCUCACUGGACCAUAACUGACGCUGAGGCACGAAAGCGUGGGGAGCAAACAGG